rnacentral:misc_RNA from 1 species
AAGGAAGCUGUGUGUGUUUAGGU